ensembl:lncRNA
GCUAGAGCUUGAGGACUCAACUCUGAAGACUGUUUCUGAAUUCACUGACCUGGUGAGUAAAUGUUGUGUACAAGGCCACCAUCUAGUGACAGAAACAUAGAAACACACAUUGUUGCUGAACGAAGGCAUCUCUUUAUUUUCCAGAAAUAAAACUUGUAGACCUUUCCUGCAGUCUCUGAGAAGAUGGAAACCUCUUCUUCUUCUGGACGAUCUCCGUCUCCUACUGGGACUGUCUUCUUACCCCCUCCUAUCAUGUGGAACAGUCUCUACAAGCAGGCAGAGAUGGAGGUUCACUUCCCGAGAGAAGAGAAGAAGACCUGUACAGAGAAGGAAGCCCACAUGCUUGAGUUGAGGGGGAAGGAUCGAACGAUCCGAAACCAGAAGAAGGAGAUGGACAGACUUCAAGUGUGCCUCUGGGAGGAGGAAAAGAAGAAGAGGAAUGGUGGAACGGAGAAGGACAAGAUCAUUGAACAAUUACAGUCUGAGUCAGACAGUCUCCGAGCCCUUUUAAAAGAUGAAAGGAGGAGAAGAAGAGUAGAAAGGGGUAUAAUGACAGAGUGGAAGGCUGAGAUCCUGAGACUGAGGGAGGCAGAGAGCCAGAGGGAGGCAGAGAGCCAGAGAGAGGCAGAGUGCCAGAGGGAGGCAGAGUGCCAGAGGGAGGCAGAGUGCCAGAGAGAUGCAGAGAGAGAGAGAGAAGCAGAGAGACAGAGAGAAGCAGAGAGCCAGAGAGAUGCAGAGAGACAGAGAGAAGCAGAGAGACAGAGAGAAGCAGAGAGACAGAGAGAAGCAGAGAGACAGAGAGAAGCAGAGAGACAGAGAGCAGCAGAGAGACAGAGGGAAGCAGAGAGACAGAGAGAAGCAGAGAGACAGAGAGAAGCAGAGAGACAGAGGGAAGCAGAGAGAGAGAGGGAAGCAGAGAUAGCCACAGAAGCAAUGGAGCACCAGAGAAAAAUGCAGGAGAUCCACAGACUCAAAAAACUGCUGGAUCUACUGAUGGUGGACCUACAACUGGCCCACGUAAGACAUGUCAUUGUUAUUAUUAAAAGGCAGUGUAUAUUUACCCAGCUGAAAAUGAAUAGUGGCAGACAGCGGUACGCUAACCCAAUGUUAACUUUUAUUCCUUUCCUUAACCCUUACCUUAACCUCACUGAAACUAUACCUAACCUUUACCUUAACCCAACCCUAGGUCCUGAACCUAACCUUCAUUUAUCUCAACCCCUAUGCCUUUCUUCUGCCGGUUGAAUAUCCACUUCCUUAUUAACGUCAUUACUGUUGUUGUUGUUGUUGACUGUAUCUGUGAAGGUUGUAAAUAGCUGCAUUAGUGAAGCAUCAUUUGUAGGAGUAAUUUCUACAAGCAUAAACAUCAGAGGCAACAUUGUUGUAACAUCACACAAAUUGUAACAGGAAUUUCUCAAACCCCUAACUGAAUGGGCAAGAAGGUUGUGUGUUUGUAUUUGAACACAUUUUGGACAUAAUUGAUUCCAUAAAAUGUCUCGUAAUUUUUUCAAACAAUGAUAAUACAUUAAUUGACAUUGAAUUGUCCAGAUGAGUUGAUCAAAAUGACCCUGCUAUUGAUGUUGUCCAGUGUUUGAUUCAAUUACCUAGCUCUAGGUUGUAUUUCUAUGUAUCAUUCUCUGCAAAUCCUUUGAAAGUAUGUCUUGGUCAUAGAUUAU